rnacentral:rRNA from 1 species
UACGAAGGGGGCUAGCGUUGCUCGGAAUUACUGGGCGUAAAGGGAGCGUAGGCGGACAGUUUAGUCAGUGGUGAAAGCCCAGGCUCAACCUUGGAAUUGCCAUUGAUACUGAUUGUCUUGAGUAUGGGAGAGGUGUGCGGAACUCCGAGUGUAGAGGUGAAAUUCGUAGAUAUUCGGAAGAACACCAGUGGCGAAGGCGGCACACUGGCCCAUUACUGACGCUGAGGCUCGAAAGCGUGGGGAGCAAACAGG